CCUUCGAUAGCUCAGCUGGUAGAGCGGAGGACUGUAGGAACGUGCACCUUCUAGUAAUCCUUAGGUCGCUGGUUCGAUUCCGGCUCGAAGGA
rnacentral:tRNA from 1 species